GGAUAGCUCAGCUGGUAGAGCAUGAGACUCUUAUUCUCAGGGUCGUGGGUUUGAGCCCCACGAGGGUCU